rnacentral:rRNA from 1 species
CCUACGGGAGGCAGCAGUGAGGAAUAUUGGUCAAUGGACGAGAGUCUGAACCAGCCAAGUAGCGUGAAGGAUGACUGCCCUAUGGGUUGUAAACUUCUUUUAUAUGGGAAUAAAACGUUCCACGUGUGGGAUUUUGUAUGUACCAUAUGAAUAAGGAUCGGCUAACUCCGUGCCAGCAGCCGCGGUAAGACGGAGGAUCCGAGCGUUAUCCGGAUUUAUUGGGUUUAAAGGGAGCGUAGGUGGAUUGUUAAGUCAGUUGUGAAAGUUUGCGGCUCAACCGUAAAAUUGCAGUGGACACUGGCAGUCUUGAGUACAGUAGAGGUGGGCGGAAUUCGUGGUGUAGCGGUGAAAUGCUUAGAUAUCACGAAGAACUCCGAUUGCGAAGGCAGUUCACUGGACUGCAACUGACACUGAGGCUCGAAAGUGUGGGUAUCAAACAGGAUUAGAUACCCUUGUAGUC